GCCAGUGUGGCAUAGUGGUUUGAAUGUUGGACUAAGACUCUGCAGACCAGGGUUCGAUUCCCAACUCAGCCA
rnacentral:tRNA from 1 species